rnacentral:rRNA from 1 species
UACGGAGGGAGCUAGCGUUGUUCGAAAUUACUGGGCGUAAAGCGCACGUAGGCGGCUAUUCAAGUCGGGGGUGAAAGCCCGGGGCUCAACCCCGGAACUGCCCUCGAAACUAGAUAGCUAGAAUCUUGGAGAGGCGAGUGGAAUUCCGAGUGUAGAGGUGAAAUUCGUAGAUAUUCGGAAGAACACCAGUGGCGAAGGCGACUCGCUGGACAAGUAUUGACGCUGAGGUGCGAAAGCGUGGGGAGCAAACAGG